GCAGCUCUCUGAAGUCCAGUUCACAACUACUUGGCUACUGAAGCCACAAAAGCUGGUUUAAGAUGUAACUUCAUCAGAAUAUCCUUCUUGCAAAAGAUCUGGAACCACAUUUAAUCUGACAAGGUAACUGACCUACCAGUAAGAAAAAGACAGGUAACUCACCAAAAAGGAGGCAGAUGACUGGAAUAGAGACUUCACACACAAAAAAUAAAUCCAAAUGGCCAAUCAGUGCUUAAAUUCAUUGGAAUUAAGGAACUGCAAAAUAAGUUGCAAUGAGAGACCACUUGUACACCUCCUGACUUGGCAAAAACUGAAGUCUGGCAAUAACAAGUGCUGGUACGGGUGCCACAGAACAAUGGGACACUCAUACACUGCUGGUGGAAAUGUAAAGAUACUACUUUGGAAAGUAGUUUUGCAUUAAUUAGUAAAGCUGAAUAGAUGCAUGCUCCUUGAUCCCCCCAAAACCCCUGCCAACAACUUAAAGCAGUGGCUCUCAAAGUGCGGUCCCUAUUCCUGGCUAGUAGCUUCAGCAUCACCGGGGAAUUUCUUAGAAAUGUAAACUCUCAAAAGCUACGCAUGUCCCUCUGAAUCAGACACUCUGAGGGUAGAGCCUCGUCAUCUGUGAACCUCCUGGGGAUGGUGAUGAGCUCUCUCAAGUAGAAGAAGUACUGCCUGAGAGAAAUCUGUGAGCCUGGGCACAGGACACAUGACAAAAAUGUUCAUAGCAGUAACCACGGAUUCAUCAGCAGGAAUAUUUUGUGUUCUAUUUAUGUAAUGGAAUAUUGGACUAUAAAGAAAACGAAUGCAUUCCAUGGAUAAAGAUUAUAGUCAUCAUGUUGAAGAAAAGAAGCAAGACACAAAUGAAGAGAAAAAAAAAAAAGCCCUGAAAGAAAGCAAGGAAGUGAUAACCGUAAAAUAUAGGAAAAUGGUGAUCAAUAUUGGAGAAGGAUCUCUGAUCAAGAAGGAAUUUGGAUUGGAGUUUCUGAAGGGCUGGUAAAUGUCCCAUUCUUUGA